GACGAACGCUGGCGGCGUGCUUAACACAUGCAAGUCGAACGGUGAAGCUCCAGCUUUCUGGAGUGGAUCAGUGGCGAACGGGUGAGUAACACGUGAGCAACCUGCCCCCGACUCUGGAAUAAGCACUGGAAACAGCGGCUAAUACUGGAUACGAGAUCAACCCGCAUGGUUAUGGUCUGGAAAGUUUUUCGGUUUGGGAUGGGCUCGCGGCCUAUCAGCUUGUUGGUGAGGUAAUGGCUCACCAAGGCGACGACGGAUAGACGGCCUGAGAGGGCGAACGGCCACACGGGGACUGAGAGACGGAGCAGUCUGCUACGGGAGGCAGCAGUGGGGAAUCUUGCGCAAUGGGCGAGAGUGUGAUGCAGCGACGUCGGGUGAGGGAUGAAGGCCCUCGGGUUGUAAACCUCUUUCAGCAGGGAAGAAGCGAAAGUGACGGUACCUGCAGAAGAAGCACCGGCUAACUACGUG
rnacentral:rRNA from 1 species